UACGUAGGGUCCGAGCGUUGUCCGGAAUUAUUGGGCGUAAAGGGCUCGUAGGCGGUUUGUCGCGUCGGGUGUGAGAACCAGGUGCUUAACACCUGGCCUGCUUUCGAUACGGGCAGACUAGAGGCAUUCAGGGGAGAACGGAAUUCCUGGUGUAGCGGUGAAAUGCGCAGAUAUCAGGAGGAACACCGGUGGCGAAGGCGGUUCUCUGGGAAUGUCCUGACGCUGAGGAGCGAAAGUGUGGGGAGCGAACAGG
rnacentral:rRNA from 1 species